GACGAACGCUGGCGGCGUGCUUAACACAUGCAAGUCGAACGGAAAGGCCCUGCUUUUGUGGGGUGCUCGAGUGGCGAACGGGUGAGUAACACGUGAGUAACCUGCCCUUGACUUUGGGAUAACUUCAGGAAACUGGGGCUAAUACCGGAUAGGAGCUCCUGCUGCAUGGUGGGGGUUGGAAAGUUUCGGCGGUUGGGGAUGGACUCGCGGCUUAUCAGCUUGUUGGUGGGGUAGUGGCUUACCAAGGCUUUGACGGGUAGCCGGCCUGAGAGGGUGACCGGCCACAUUGGGACUGAGAUACGGCCCAGACUCAUACGGGAGGCAGCAGUGGGGAAUAUUGCAAAAUGGGCGGAGGCCUGAUGCAGCAACGCCGCGUGCGGGAUGACGGCCUUCGGGUUGUAAACCGCUUUCGCCUGUGACGAAGCGUGAGUGACGGUAAUGGGUAAAGAAGCACCGGCUAACUACGU
rnacentral:rRNA from 1 species